GGUGGACUGGGCUUUCGGGACCUUCAUUGCUUUAACUUGGCAAUGUUGGCAAAACAGUGCUGGAAGCUAAAUGAGUAACCAGAUUCCCUUUGCGUCAUUGUGCUUAGAGCAAAAUAUUAUCCAGAUGGAAAUUUCUUGACAAAAAAUUUGAAGUGUGGGGCAUCAUUUACUUGGCAAACUAUCAUGUCAGGUUUAGAAGCUUUCAAGAUGGGGUAUAUCUGA
rnacentral:rRNA from 1 species